UGCGCACCAGAAGUGUUUUCCUGCAUAUGCCGACGUUUAGAGCCAAGAGCAGCGUGCGAGUUGCCAGGGAACAAGCAAAGGUCCCUCUUUCAGCAUCCACAGAAGACAGACUAUGCUGGAUUCCAGCUGUACUGCUACUGAACUGUCUCCUACUCUCUGGGCAAUGGGUAUAAAAGUCCACCGUUCCAGGAUGUGCCUGAUGUAGCUCCCCACACCUGACAAGG